rnacentral:rRNA from 1 species
UUGGAGGGCAAGUCUGGUGCCAGCAGCCGCGGUAAUUCCAGCUCCGAUAGCGUAUAUUAAAGUUGACGCAGUUAAAAAGCUCGUAGUUGAAUUUCGGGAUCAAUUUGUUGGUCGUGCCUCGGUACGUACUGGCAUUAUUGGUUUCUACCUUCUGAAGAACCUUGAUGUCAUUAAUUUGGUGUCUUGGGGAAUCAGGACUGUUACUUUGAAAAAAUUAGAGUGUUUAAAGCAGGCAUACGCUUGAAUACAUUAGCAUGGAAUAAUGAGAUAGGACGUUUGAUUCUAUUUUGUUGGUUUCUAGGAUCGACGUAAUGAUUAAUAGGGAUAGUUGGGGGCAUUAGUAUUCAAUGGUCAGAGGUGAAAUUCUUGGAUUUAUUGAAGACUAACUACUGCGAAAGCAUUUGCCAAGGAUGUUUUCAUUAAUCAAGAACGAAAGUUAGGGGAUCGAAGACGAUCAGAUACCGUCGUAGUCUUAACCAUAAACUAUGCCGACUAGGGAUCGGAUGAUGUUAUUUUUAAUGACUCAUUCGGCGCCUUACGGGAAAC